GUGUGAGAAACCGGUCAGCGAGGAUCUUGGACGCCCGCGAUGGCGCCACGUCCAUCGACGUGUGACGUGGCGGACGAUGGGCCGUGCAUCCCGGGAGUCUCAGCUAUGGCGAGUGUAUUGUGAGCAGCCGGCUAUCUUUUCGAUAGAGGGGAAGGGGAGCGUUCCUCGCGCGCGGCUAGGGUUCCUCUUUGUCAUGCCGCGGCUGGAAUGCAUGUAGGCGCCGCGGUGUGAGCGCGCGGGAUUAAUGCAGGUUCUCACUCCUCGAUCCUCGGGAAAUUUUCUUUCUUCUUCCUCCUACUUGUGCGCCGCCCGCCUGAUCUCGGCCUGCAUUGGAUUUCUGGCGAUCGGCUCGUGAGCGCUGCGGGUGAUUUGGUCGAUCGCCGCCGCAAUAUCGCUCCUGGGAUGCCUUUGGCAAGGUACGAGCUCCAGAGCGAGUACUGUUUUGCGAAUCCCGAGCUGUACAAGGCCGUCCCCAAGAACGAUGCCGAGGCGCUGUUCGAGAGCAUCACAAUGGCGGCACUGGCUGGGAUCGUGCGACAGCUUGGAGAAGUGGCAGAGCUCGCCGCGGAGAUUUUCAACGACUUGCAUCAAGAGGUCGUGGCGUUAUCCUCGAGAGGGAAACAAAUCGCUCGGCGAGUGGGAAGGCUCGAAGCCGAGCUAACUACAUUGGAAGAGACCGUCUAUUGCGAGUCUGAUCAGCUGAGCUAUGCCUUUACAGAAGGUUUUCAGUGGCAUCCAACCAUUUUCGUGAAGCAGAAUCACUUCUCUCAGCCGGAGCUUCCCCGCUUCCUCCAGCAGUCGUAUGAUGACUGUAGAGAACCCCCGCGCUUCUUUCUCUUGGACAAUUUUGACGUUGCCGGAGCUGGAGCUACGCUGAGGAGAUAUACGGACCCUUCCUUCUUCCGAAUUAAAUGGGCGAAUUCGGAGCUGUUAAAGGCGGAGAGGCUCCAGACUGGGCGGCGCGUCAGAGAAAGAGGGAAAAAACGUGAAACUAGUGGUGUUCAUGAUACCCGACAAAGUAUCACCCCGGAAGCUAAGCUCAGUUUCAUAGAAGCCUCAAAGUUCAUCCACAGUGUGGAUGCAUUCUCGGACCCCUAUCUGGAAGCUGAUGAUACCGACACGGAACUACGUGCGUUGAAAGUGGAAACGCUUCGGAUCAGCGCCAAGGAAAUAGAAGAAAACUCUCUACUCCAGAAGAGGACGAGGCAUACGACGUCAGCGACCGACAGUGAUUUUGUCGACGGUGCAGAGCACUUCGUUGAUGCUCUCACGAGCAUAGAGCCGGAUGCAGAAAUAGAAAAUGAAAAGGCCAGGUGCAGUACGUCCAGCCGAACAUCCAGUGGGUCAAAUCAGGAAGCUGCUUUUUCAGUUAAACAGGAGGCUAGAGCGACGCCACCAAAAGACUUUAUCCAAGAGGAUCUGCCGCAACGUAGUCCCUUCAAUGUUCAAGGAGCGACCGAGCUUUCUUUCUACUCCAGCACGUCACCUUCCGAGAUUUCAUCGCCAUCCGCGUCGCCAUCCCUGUCGGAUCUAUCUGAAGAGUCGUACUCGUCGCAGCAAAUAUUCAGUGUGCUGGACUCUCCUGUAGUGGGGAUUGGAAGAAACGCAACGAAGGAACGGGAGGUUUGGACCAUGCCCUUCAGGCCGAGCUCACCUUCGGAAGCAGCAAGUUUUCCCGAUGAGGCACCACCUCCUCCUCCGCUGCCUCCGAGCAAAUGGAGAGUUGCGAAGACGCUUGUUCCCGGGGACGUUUCGUCGUCACCAGCGCCAGAAGAUUUGCAGGGCCAAGGAGCUCCCGUUGGCCACCAGCACCAUGACAUACUAAUGGAUUCCAUUGUUUCUCAUGACAAGGAUACGCUGAGAAAGGUGACCAGUGAUCCUCGGGCGAAAUCGUUUGGCAGUCGUGAGGUCUUACUGGAGCAAAUACGCUCGAGGUCUUUCAAUCUAAAGCACGCUGCCCAGCAGGAGAAGGAGAAAACUGAGACUCCUUGCCCAGCAACGUCCAGCGUCAACGUCGCGACGAUCCUGGAGAAAGCUAGUGCAAUUCGCCAGGCACUUCAGGGGAGUGAUGACGAAGAGGACUUUACCUAACAUUUCGCAUUUUAUAUCUCUUUUAAACUACACCGCAUUAUGCCUUGCUGCCUUGGUGUUUCAGUUGAGCAAGAACUAUGGGAAAUAAUUUCUUGGAGACGCUUUGGCAAAUUUGCUCAAGGAAUCCAAGCUGGAAAGACCCCUCCAGCGGAAGAAAGCGCUGCUCGCAUCGACACAGUAUGAAGACCCCAGCAGGAUUUGGCCUCUUGCUUCUAAUCUCAGAUACAAAUUAUCUUUUGUAUUUACAGCAUCUGCUAAUUUAAAACUCCCUUUUUUUA